GGGACACUCUCACUGAAGGUCCUAAUCUAUCAUAGUGAAACGGGAUCCAUGAACAGUGUGACAAGAAAUUCACAAGACACAUCUGCUGACGAGUAGCAAGUAUGGAUAUAACUGUCUUUGUCCCGGGCUAAUAACCAAAGGAUCAAAAGGGGGGAUGACUUCUGUGAAAAUAGAAUUUGGAAAAUACCCUUUGAGGAAAAAGAGUUUCAUCUAGAGGACCGGAAGGAAGAAGAUCCUGGUGACUUUCUGCUGUAGAAGAAUUUCUGCAACUGACUGGAAAUGGGCAUCAUUAAGUCACGGUUUCUACAAAAACCACUUGUCACACAGGUUGAGAUUAAAAGAUGAUGUGUUGAGCUACAGAGAGAUGGUGUUCUCUACAGAACACCACUCCACCCUCCCCAACCUCCUUCUUUUAGAGCUCAGAUGAAACACUUCUGCUUUGCCGGGCUCAGACCUCACUCCCGCCCACCACACUCCCACUGCUCUCAUCACGGCUCGCUUCUUCUCCCUCUCUCUCCCUGUAUGACCCUGGACCUACCCUACUGACACAUCCCACAGCACCCCUAGGCUUCCUCACAGCCCAGCAGCCCGGGAAUCAUCGAACUGCCUACAGGACUGCCUUACCGAGGAAAAGAAACAGCCGCUCCAGUAGAAGCUGCAAAGAAUACUCGGACCGGGGGUCAG
rnacentral:lncRNA from 1 species